rnacentral:misc_RNA from 1 species
AGGAAGUAAAAGUCGUAACAAGGUUUCCGUAGGUGAACCUGCGGAAGGAUCAUUAAAAAAUAUUGACACACAACCCAUUUCAUUAGAAAAACAACAAAACAAAAACUUCAAUAGCCAAAACAAAAAACUUUCAACAACGGAUCUCUUGGCUCUCGCACCGAUGAAGAACGCAGCGAAAUGCGAUACGUAGUAUGACUCGCAGCCUUCGUGAAUCAUCGAAUCUUUGAACGCACAUUGCACCCAGUGGCAUUCCACUGGGUAUGCCUGGCUGAGCGUCUUUUCUCCCUCAACACUGUUGGCUGUGGGAACACGUUCCCCAAAGAAAAAAGACGAUUCGGGAGCAACAACGCUUCUUCCGAACA